UACGGAGGAUGCAAGCGUUAUCCUGAAUGAUUGGGCGUAAAGGGUCCGUAGGUGGUGAUGUAUGUCUAUUGUCAAAGGUUCUGGCUUAACCAGAGACAGGCAGUAGAAACUGCAAAACUAGAGUGCAGUCGGGGCAGGGGGAAUUCCUGGUAUAGCGGUGAAAUGCGUAGAGUUCAGGAAGAACACCGGUGGCGAAAGCGCCCUGCUAGGCUGUGACUGACACUGAGGGAAGAAAGCUAGGGGAGCGAAUGGG
rnacentral:rRNA from 1 species